CCAGGGGACACUCCGAGUGUCCCUGUCUCUGUCCCUGUCCCUGCAGGCUCCGAGGGCCCCUCCCUGGAGGACGCCCUGGGACUCUUCUUGGUGGCCUUCGUCCUCUGCGGCCUCGUGCGUUGGCUGAGCCCUGCCCCCCCGCGCCCCCAGGACCACCCCAAGAAGUCGCAGUGACGCCGAAGACGGAUCCCGACGCCUCGGCUGCCAAUAAAUUCGGUUUUCUCCCCAAAA